UAGGGAAUCUUCCGCAAUGGGCGAAAGCCUGACGGAGCAACGCCGCGUGAGUGAUGAAGGUCUUCGGAUCGUAAAACUCUGUUAUUAGGGAAGAACAAAUGUGUAAGUAACUAUGCACGUCUUGACGGUACCUAAUCAGAAAGCCACGGCUAACUACGUGCCAGCAGCCGCGGUAAUACGUAGGUGGCAAGCGUUAUCCGGAAUUAUUGGGCGUAAAGCGCGCGUAGGCGGUUUUUUAAGUCUGAUGUGAAAGCCCACGGCUCAACCGUGGAGGGUAAUUGGAAACUGGAAAACUUGAGUGCAGAAGAGGAAAGUGGAAUUCCAUGUGUAGCGGUGAAAUGCGCAGGGAUAUGGAGGAACACCAGUGGCGAAGGCGACUUUCUGGUCUGUAACUGACGCUGAUGUGCGAAAGCGUGGGGAUCAAACAGG
rnacentral:rRNA from 1 species